rnacentral:misc_RNA from 1 species
UGGAAUAAAAGUGUAACAAGGUUCCGUAGGUGAACUGCGGAAGGAUCAUUAAUAAUUUUUAAAAUUUAUAAAAAAUCCAUUUCACCUUUGUGAAUUCGUAAUUUGUAAAAAAUGUCUUUCCAGUGGAGCUAGUUUUAGUGAAACUGUUAGUAUAAACUUUUUUUAAUAUAACGUUUGUGUGAUCUGUCUGAAAAAAUUGUUAAAUUAAAAACAACUUUUGACAAUGGAUCUCUUGUUCUCGCAACGAUGAAGAACGCAGGAAUUGCGAUAAGUAAUGUGAAUUGCAGAUUUAGUGAUCAUCGAAUUUGAACGCAUAUUGCACUUUUUGGUAUCCGAAAGUAUGCCUGUUGAGUAUCAGUAAUUUCUCAUCACAAUUUUUUUUGAAUUUGUGUAUGGAUUUGAAUGCUUUUACUUGCUUAAGUGAACAUUUGAAAUAAAGUUGUGAACUUUUAGGAAUAUUUAUAACAAUAAAAUGUGAUAAAAUUUUCCGCAGGAUAACCUAUUCAUUUUAAAGUUUAAGUAGGAAUAAAAGGAAUCUUCAUUGAAGGAAUUUAGACAACUUUUGAUAUUAUUGAUCAAAAGUCUAAUCUAAAAAAUAAACUUGAUCUCAAAUCAGUAAGAGUACCACUGAUUAAGCAUAUCAAUAAGUGGAGAAAAGAACUAACAAGAUUCCUCAGUACGCGAGUGAAGCGGAGAGCUCAAUUUGAAUCUUGAAAGGUCACUUUCACGAAUUGUAGUUUAAAGAAGUGUUUUCUGUUACGAUCGUAAUAUAAGUUCUUUGGAAUAGGACAUCACAGAGGGUGAGAAUCCCGUCUAUGAUUGCGAUUUGUAGCUUGUGAUACACUUUCAAGAGUCGGUUGUUUGGAAUGCAGCCCAAAACGGGAGGUAAAUUUCUUCUAAGGCUAAAUAUUGGCGAGAGACCGAUAGCGAACAAGUACGUGAGGAAAGAUGAAAAGAACUUGAAAAGAGAGUUAAAUAGUACGUGAAAUUGUCAAAAGGGAAGCGUUAACACCAGUGUUGUUUCUGAAAUCAACCUCUGUUAGCUUUAGCAUGUUUGUUAGACCUAAUCAGCUAUCUUGCAUGUUCUAUGUUUGCAUGGUGCACUUUUCAGUUACAGGUCAACAUCAGUUUUUUUUACCGUAAAAAAGUUAAAGAAAGGUAGCUCAUGGCUCGGUCGUGAGUGUUAUAGUCUUUUUCCUAUGCGGUAGGAGAGACUGAGGUCUGCAGUGUAGGCUAUUGGCUAGAUACUCAGGUGCUAUGUGUACCAUUUCAUAAACAACUUGUUGAUUAUGUUUGUCUAUUGCAUACUCGCUUGUACUAUCAUACCUACGUUAGGAUGUUGAC